GUUUGUUUUUUUUUUUUUUAAAUCUGGCUGUCUUUUCUGUCCCCUCAUCUAAGUAGUCUUGGCUAUAAAUUUCUAUUAAGAUACAGUGAAAUUUCAGCAUUACAACAUUGCAGUCCCUUAGCUGGUAAGGAAAAGCUGAAAUUUACCCUGCCUUUCUUCAUCACUCUCCCUCUGUUCAGCCUACAUGGAAAUCACAACUUACCCUGCCUUGAGUUUUCGCUGUGCCACUUAAAUUCACAUCGUGAACCCGUGACUUGAGAGCCUGUCCCUUUCACACAGCAAAGAGAAUGCUUGGAGUUGGUGCACUUGGUCUCACAAUGGUCUGAACAGAUUUUUCAAGAGGACCCCACAGUCUAUGUUCUAGUAAAGAGGGCUCAGUCCUGCCCUGCAGGGCCUGGAUGGGGCUACACCGAGUGUUUUCCAUAGAGAUGAGGCUGCAGCGGUGGAGCAUAUGUGAUUGGGGCAUUUACCCCUAGCUUCACUAGAUGGAAAUUACUACAGCCAGCAAUUCCCAGAUCUGCCAGCUGAGGGAUCUCCCAAGCCUGUGACAGCUGCUGCUUGUAACAGACAAGCACAAAGAGAGCUUUAGCCCCUUCUCACAGAGUAGCAUCUAGAGGGAGGGCCAGAGCAACUGUGUCUGGCCUUUCUAAAUCAUUCUGUGCUGUAUCUUGGCCACUGAAGUAAGUCUGAGCACUGCACUUUUCUGUGCUGUUCAGAAAAUAAUUGACAGAUGGGAAGCUCGAACUCAGGAAAGCUGUAAAUGCUGGUGUCUGGUAUUUGCUUCCAAAGAAAUGCAGGGUUGUAGCCACCUGCAGGGUCAGCUGAAGGUACUCUGCCACCUGGUGUUUGGUCCCACAGACAGUUUUCCUUAGAAGUUAAAUUAAAUUUGAUCUUUUAACCCUGUGUGCACUUUGAGCACAUUCAGACACAGGUUCCCAUUCAGCAUUUCCAUGCAAGCUGAAUCAAAGAGCCUGGAUUGUUCAGAACACAGAAGGAACUCCCUUGCCAGAGCCUGGAUCCACAGCACUGCAGAAGCAAGAGAGGACCAUGCCGUGACAGUGGGCUUGAUCCCAGUCUCAGCUGCCAAGUUUUCCACCCAUAAGUUCCCAAGAGUGAAAGAAAGAACGAACAAACACCCUGUUUUCUUCAGCAGGAGGGAAGUUAAAAGUACCCUAUUGCAGGUUUCCAUUGGAAAGGAAAAGCUAGAAUUUAAAUAGCAUCUGUUGGCUGUUGAGCCCAGUAUGGCAAACAUUGCCACUGAAAUAACAGGUUAUAUUUAGAAGCAAGCCAAAUACCCUAAAACACUUGGUUUGGAAGCGUGUCAUAUUUUCCUUAGAGCCAGUAUUUGAGGCUUGGUUGUUUCUAAUAGUGGCUCAUUCAUAGAGAGCGGAGUUAACUUCUCACAGCUGGAUGUGACAUUUUUCCCAACUAAUCCUAACUUUUUGCUGCUAUAAAGCAAGCUGGAAACCAGGAAACACAUCUCACUGUUAGGCAGCACAGGAAAGAAAAAGGAGAGGAAAAAAAAAAAACAGGAUUUAGUUUGUAUUUUAAAAACUACACUAUGCAGGGACCAUCUCCUUUCCAGCAUCGUAGUAGCCUGGCAGAUCACAGCUCCCCAGGAUUCCAUUAGCACCACCCCAGCUAAAGGUACACUGAGGGUGACGUACGAGGCACCAGUUGCAGUCAUGCAGCCAGAACAAUCACUCAGGCGUUUUUCUUCGUGCUCAUACAGGGCAAGACAUUCCCUCAAGGUGUUCCUGAGGCUGAAUUCCUUCUCCCAUGCAAAGCAUCUUGCUGGGUGUCAUUUACUGCUCCUUUAGUGAGUUGCAGCACCCUUGUUACUCCUUUCUUUUCAGUGGCAAUUCCCAAGGACCCGUCACCCCAUCAUUCCCAUUUUGCUGAAUUUAUAGACUUGAAUGGAGCCAGAUGUCACUGAUGCACUGCAGUAGGAAUAAGUACAGGCCACCAAGGACCUGCUGACAAACUGCAAAACAUCCCUUAGCUGCAGUUGAGUAAAACACCGCCUGAAGGAACUGGUGAAGAAGCUUCUAUCACUUUUAAUUAUUGUUCAAAUCAAGUACCUUCUUUUUUAGGCAGGUGUUUUGCAGUUGCUAAAGAGACUCUUAUGGUUCAGAAAAAGUUAAAAACUGUCAAAGAGGUGCCUUCACCAAAAGUAAUAACCAAAUGCAUUAAAGGCAGCAUGUGGCUCUGCAUCCUGUGCCAAAAUGUGUUGCCAUGGGGUGCGCAGGUUGCUCACUUCUCCAGAUCCCUCCCUUUCCCUCACCUACAGCCCUAGUGAGUUCUGGGUCUUGGGUAGCUGUGCUAGGCAGCCUCUGUGGUUUCAACUCCAGGAUACUGACAGAGAGUGAUGUAGACACAAGAUCAAAAAUCAGCCUCGCUGUGUUGUGGUGCAGACUGUGGACUGCAGUGUGUACAUAGGCGGGUUGAUACUUUGAUUUUCUCCGGCUGUGGAGUAUCAUGGGCCUGAUGCAUGUAACCUUGGAGCCUGUAAAGCAUUGGUCAUACAGGCAUCUUGAAGGCAGCAGAUUAAAUGGUGUUAAAUGUCCUGCUUGCCAGCAAAAAGGGACUUUUCAGGAAAAGCGUGCAAAUCUAGGAGUGCUGGAUCCAAUGCAGCAGCAGUGCAUGCAGUAGGACAUGGCAGGACAUGUGCUGCCCCCUCCCCAGCUGCUGCCCGGGAGCCCCGUGCAUCAGGUAGGGCUGUGCUUUGGUAGAAUUAGAGGAAAACAGCAAUGACAGAGGUUACAGUCUCUGUUUACAGACAGGUUUUUCCCUUCACUUUCCCCUUCCCAAGCACAGGCUAUGUGGUAAAGCUUGAAUUGCAAACACUUGGGAGGAAUAGUGGUCAAAGCAAGCCUGCAUCUCACAACUAGCACUGCCAUCACCCCAGAAUAAAGUACAAAUACUUCUUUUGGGUGCAGAUUCAUUGGAAGUCAGAUGCUGCUCAUUGAAAACAACAAACCUAGGCUGUAGGAUCAGACUACAGGAGAGGGGAGGGAAGGCUAACACACCAAUUGCUUUAGUUACCCAAAUAUGACUCCAUGUCUGGGGGUGGGGACUGAUAGUCCUGUGUGCACAUGUUCACAGGAACAUUUGUUUCUGCUGUUCCUCGUACCCCGGUGCUCGGGUCAGGCCCCGUCACAGAGCCACUGACCCCUCUGGCUGACAUUCUGUCCCAACCUUGGCACAUUUUUAUGAGCAGCAGGGCCGUGCUCCACGUGUGGUUCCAGGCUAAAAAUUACUGACAGAAAGUCAGCCCACAGCGGCGCUGGCCUUCACCACAUUAACCUCUGCCUCUGAGAUUGUGAAAACAGAUCAGGCCUUUCAUGAUGAAAAGCCUUUUCUCUGGCAGAUUUCUCUUAUUUACAGCCUCCCAUUAACUGAUGUUCGUAAACUGCUUCACAGCCCUCUGCUGAAAGGCUCUAGAGAAGUUCAAGUGCUUUCUCAACAGUGUAUUCCAAACACCCAUCGUCCAGAGUUUCCUCAUACACUCCUGGCAGUUUUCCCUGCCAAACAAGAGACAGAUCUGGCACAGGAGAAAUAAACAAGCACAGCAAAGGAGAAAGCUAUUUUCAGUUCCUACUAGUUGGAGGAUUGCUACAACAUUUUCUACUGCAUUACGCAGUGAGGUUGGGUGAGCCAGAGAAGUCUUCCCACUUUCUACUGUUUAAUAUAUGAAAAACUCCUGCUUCGUCUUUGUGGGAAUUUUUUUUUUUAUUCUGAGAGGGGUCUUGAGAAAUUAAAGUAGGAGGCAAUACUAGAAUUUUUGAAAAGCCUCAACAAUGCUUCUCAACUCCAUUUAGUUUCACUUCUCCAGGGUGAUUUCAGACACAUCUUGAAAUGAAGGCAUCAAAGCGCCUUACCUGGAAAUGCUCUGAAGGUUUACAUCUCCCUAGAGAGUUCAGUCAAACUUGUCAUCUGUCAGGCAGCCCAUUAACAGUGGCACAUGUGUGCAGGUAACAUGUCACUUACCUGAGGUGGCACUUGCAUACAACGACCGCAAGGUCGAUGCUCCUGUGUCUUGGGAAUCUCAUUCUGUGCAGUGCCCUGCCAAGCAGUCUGUGUCUUCACUGCUGCCUCUGAGCAGCCCAACUGCCUCUGUCUCACCACCCUUUUCCCCCCAGGUACUAAUUGGCUCCUUCUUUUGAAAAAGAUAACUCCUGGAAAAACAGCCUCAUAAACAUCUUUUUGCAAUACAGACCUCAAUGUUGCUCACAAACACUUUUCCUCUUGCCCACAACCCAACCUUCACCUCCCCUCCCCCCUCCCAUUUUAAAUAAACCUCCCUGUCCAGGUGGAGCCACUGAUGAGGCCUGGCAGCUCACAGGGAUAGUGCUCUUGCAGCUUUUGCACCUUUUGUAGUGAUGCAGCUGCUGACAAAUCCUAAAAACACCAAAUAAUUCUGUCCCAGAGCACUCCUCCCUGUGCUGUUCUUCCCCUGCCCUUUCCCUUCCCCCCAGUCUUCUAACAGUUCCAAGAAAUAUCUGCACACCACUGGAGAAAUAAGUCCCUAACUUCUCAUAGGGCCACGGGCAGACACCAUCUGCAUCUGACACCAGCUCAUCAUGUGGGAGAAACCUUGGGCUUACUUGGCAUAAAUCAUCCCUUCAGGACUGGUGAGAAGGGAUUAAAUCACCUAAAAAUGCAUUCCCUGAAACUGCAUUGCAAAAACAAUCCUCAGCUGAGGGGACAAGGAAGGACAGCAUGGAGGCAGUGUUGAGAGAGGUCAAGAGCUCUGAACUUGCUGAGAGCAAGACCUAAAGUGCAGGAGGCGCUUUAGGUUCUGGCAGAGGCUUCAUGAACAAACCACUGUUCCUGUUAAUGUUCUUACUUCAAAACCAGGGGAACACACUGCGACUGUACAUACCCUCAGCAGAGCUGUUGGCUCAGGAGCCCUGGCUGUGCUGACCCUCAUUUUAGGGUUGUUUCCAUUUUUUCUAACCCUGUGAUCCAGCAUGGCACUAAUUGCCCAAGACUAGGAAAAUGCUCUGAUCCACCACAAAUCUGCAGGUACCAGCAGUCACCAGUUUCCAGACAGGGCCCACAGAAUGCUCCUGGAUGUUUGUUUCCCCUGUUCCCUGAGUGUGCAUGUGAGGACCUGGAGCAAGGAGGGCAGCUCCAGUGUGGGGCUGGUGGCCAAGCCCAGGAACUCCAGAGCACACCCAGGACUCAAAGUCCAAGGAUCACUGUAGUGAAAUGGUGCUUCCAGCCUGCAGAGCACACACAGCCAGGUGACCCAGCACGUCCCCAGCUCAGACACCACACAACCUGGGAUGCAGAUAUGUAUGCACAUCAUGCCAUCCCACUAAGAGGUUAGACCUUUUCUCACACAUGCUCUUCCCCCUUCCCAACCUCAGACCAUUUUUUAUGAAACAUUCAGCUCCUCCCUGACAUGAAGGAGAUUUUAAAAAUCUAAGUCAAUUCCCUUAUUCCCAAACAGAUUGGAGCCCAAAUCCCAGCAUCUCCCUCACUGCCCCUUUGGCUGUUGCAGUGUUGGUGCAGCCUCUCCCCUGCACAGUAAUUACUGCCAAGGUAGGGGAUGAAAGGGGGAAGUUCUUUAACGCAGCUCCGCGGCUGGAGGGCUCAGCUGACUCACAACACAUGAAGAUGCUGGUGCGUUGUACAGGUUUUAGUCACUUCCCUCCCUGAUGUUGGCUACUCCAGUACUCAGGUUCUGGGAAGUGCUGGUGUGGCCCCUUUUUCCACAGUCCAGCAGUUAAGAGAUGUUCCAAUUGAACAAUCCAAUGCAUUUCUCCAAUCUUUUCAAUUUUUGCAUUUUCAGAGUGGGUGAUGAAAAAUGGUGCCUCUUUGACAUACAGAAAGUGCUGGUUAUUCUGUGCUGGGGUCUUGAGUCUCCCUUUUGCAGAUAAUCCUAGACUUCAGGGUUUCCAAAAGUGACAUUUUCAAUCCCAUUAUAAUUACAGAAAUGCUGAAAGAAAAUGGCAUGUAUGAUUCCCCAAACUGGAGACUUGUGAAGAAAGAAAGGUUUCAAGUAAACUUUUGCCCCUUGCUGCCUUUGCUGGUUGAAUUGUGACCAAGUUUGUUUGAGAAAGGCUUUUUUUCCACAGAACAAACCAAAACUGUUCUGUUAAGUGUCAACAGCAAAUCAUUUCUCAUUGCACUCACUUUCUGAAGAUCUCGGUGUAGGUGUACAGCCCUCCUAUCCUGCAAAUGCUGGCUAAUUUGAGACAGAUGCAUGAUGAAAAACAAAUACCUUUCUUUCUUUCUCUUUACUUGUUUGCAUUUUAGCAAACAUGCAAAAGAUGCUCCAACCAGGCUCCACAGUUUGCUUUGGGGAAGCCAGUUUUCACCCAGUCCUGCUAUCUGCUGCCCAUUCCCACAGCUUCAUGUUCCACACUUGGGAAAAAAACACCUUCCUGGUGCUCCUUGCUGCCAAGGCAUCCCUGUGGUGGCAGAGGACUUGGGUCUUCCCCAAACCUUUAUGCUCUGGGCGAGCAUGUGGCCUCCACACCUGAAACACUGCUGUGGAUCUCUCAUGUGUUCGUGUCAGGAAUUAACCUCAGCUUCAGCCUUGCCAAGAUGUGAAAAAAAGCUUUAGGGAAUGAGGCGAGGAAGCAGCAAGUUGGAGGAGACACACGGAGACACCACCACCACCUCCCCACCUCUCUGUUAACCUGAUGUUUCUGGGCAGCUCUAGCUAUUGCUGCCAUGGGUGUUAGUGCAGGGAGGAGUGGAGACAGGAAGAGGGAGAAGGAAAUGCCAGCAAGGAGUGAAGUUCAGCUGGCCUGCAGGGUGUUACCCUAUCCAAGGCAGGGAGAGCAGGGAAAUUCCCAACUCGGCAAUAGUCAGUCAAAUUGAGGUAGGAGGAGAAAAGGGCUGGGCACAGCAAUUAUACCCUUCCAUGGCAAAGAACUAAGUGCUUUCUAAGUCAUCCAUUUCGUAAGUAAUUAGUCACCAUCACUUCCUAGCCACAUAAACUCAUCCCAUUUGAUUUUACACCUCCUGACAGGUCCCCAGGCCACUUGGACGAGAACUUCCCAUCAGUCUCACGAGAGGAGAGGCGAUUCAGAAAGCACCAUCGCAGCAGGACUUAGCAAGAUGUGGAUGCUUCAGCUUCACUGCAAUUCCCUGGCCUCCAGAGCUGGAUACAACUCAGAUGAUUCUCUGGCUCACUGUCCUGUGAAAUGCAUUUUAUUUAUAGGAAGGCAUACAAAAUGCAGCUAAGGCAGCUCUGACAAGCUACAACAAAGGAUUUGUCUCUUUUUUUGACACAUGCACGUGGCUUUUGAAUACAUCCUGAAGACUCUGCGGCCAUAAACAUUUAUGCAAGAAGAAAACUAUGGUAGCAGAAACCUACUUAAUUUUUUUAAAAAAUUGACUGCUACACUGCAUGCUGGGAGGAUGCUCACCUAUGUGACCAUGGGGCUACAAUUAAUUUAAAAAGGAAAGAGAAUCCUGACCCUGCCUGUGCAGGAAAAUCAGCACUUUUCUGCAGCCUUCGGUUGCUGUGUUGAGAACCUGCACCGGGAGAAAAGCAGCAUCUCCAAGGGGCCUGGCUACCAGAAAAUGGUGGUCAAAAUGAACACGAAUUUUCAGAGUGCUGCAAUCAUCUCCAGCUCAAACUCAGAUCAACUGAAGGAAGAGAAAAAGUGAUCCAUUGGCAAAGAUAAGCUCCAGCUUGCACGUCGUCCUUCAGCAGAGCUAAGGCUGAGAACAAGUCACCACAAACCCACAAGAAGAGCCACGUCCAUUUCGUAACCUGUAAUUUUUAAAUAUAACAUUUUAUUGCUUAGAUGGUUUGAUACAGAACAAGUUUUACUUUUUAUUUUGAAUUUGGAAGUACUGUACAACUGAAAAAAAAGAGGAAUAAAAGUACCAAAACAA